rnacentral:lncRNA from 1 species
AUGACGGGGAGCACGAACUGGCCCACGCCUGUGACCCCGACAGUGCCCUCGAACCUGGUGAGGGGGACGGGGCUGCUGGAGCCAGGGAGGGAGUGUGGGGAGAUGGGGCUGGAGCUGCCGGAGCCCAGGGGACACGGGGACGGGGAUGCCGGAGCCCAGGGGACGCGGGGACGGGGAUGCCGGAGCCCAGGGGAUGCGGGGACGUGGGGACAGGGCUGCCGGAGCCCAGGGGAUACGGGGACGGGGAUGCCGGAGCCCAGGGGAUGCGGGGACGUGGGGACAGGGGUGCCGGAGCCCAGGGGUGCAGAGAUGGGUGCCACCGUCCCUCAGGGACAGGGUAGGUGCCCCCAGGGGACACAGGCUGGCUGCUGGCGGUGCUGCCUGGACCCGCUGCCCGCUCGCCCUGGGCUGAGCAGGGCCCACGGGGGCCACCACGUCCCCCUGCCGGGCAGCAUCUCUGUCCCCCACCGGUGCCGCGCUGAUGCCGGCCGGACCCCCGGCUGCUCGGCUGACACGGCCGUUGCCGGCUCCGGCGGUGCUCCGGUGCCACGCGUGCCUUCCUCCGCCCCCGGUUCAUCGCCGCCCGCCCGAGAAGCCCCGGGAAGUCAGGCCAGAGCCGAGCGGAGCUUCUUCCCCGCCGGCCCCAAGGCGCACAAACGGAAAGGCGGGCAGAAGGUGUCCUUCGCCGGCGGCAUAGAGGAGCGCGGGCAGGACCUGAAGUCGCUGACGGUGUCGGAGAUCCCCGAAGACCCCGAGGGACCGGAGGGUGACGAGGAGGAGCCGGGACGGGAGCAGGAGGACGGCGGCACCGGGGGUACGCCGGGCAUCGUCCUCCCACGUUCCCCGGUGGUUCCGGUGCCGGUGGGACCCCACGCCUGACCCCGCCGUUUUUCCAUCCCCAGAGCGGCGACACGUCGGCUUCGCGGAGGUUCCCUCGCGUCCCAUCGGCACCGAGCGCCACUCGCCCACCUUCCCGCUGGGCACCAGUUAGCCGCCACCGGCCAUCCCAGCUGCCCUGGGCCCUGGCCACAUCAGCAGCUUCACCUCUACCCCCCCCCCCCCCAAAAAAAAAACCAACCCCAACCCCAUGUCCUCAUCCCGGCUGCCCCCCUUCGCCCGCUGCCUGCCCUGCCUGCGCUUCGUGUGCCGUGCCACGCCGUGCCACGCCAUGCCAGGCCCCCCACCCCGCAUGGCCACGGCCGCCCUCGCCCCGCUUCGGUGCUGGGGGGGGGGGCCCCGCGCCCCCCCCCCCCCCCCCACCUCGGCUACCGGGGCCGGGACCCCCACCAUGGAGCAGAGCCCCCCACCCGCAAUAAAUGGCUGUACAGAGAGGCUGGAGCCUGCUUUGGGGGGGGGGCUGCGGCCGUGGGGGGGGGUAAAGGGGGGUGCUGACCCCCGUGUCUGUGGGGGUGACAGCCUGGGGGGGGGUCUGGGCAGCUGGGGGGGGGGCGAGAGCUGUGGGGUCAGAGUAGGGUGCCCCACGGGCACCCCCCCCCGCCGCCGAGGGGAAUGGUCUCUCCCAGCCCCACUUGCACCCCCAACCCCCCUCCCCUCCGGUGAGGAAUGGUCUCU